rfam:Triticum aestivum genome assembly, contig: Triticum_aestivum_CS42_TGACv1_scaffold_404550_5BL
AUCCUCCCUUCCUGGACAUCCGAUAAAAUUGGAACGAUACAGAGAAGAUUAGCAUGGCCCCUGCGCAACGAUGACACGCACAAAUCAAGAAAUGGUCCAAUGUUUU